GCAGGGUAGGUUACGGCGCGUCAAGUGUCCAAGUACGGGGAGUUGACUUGGAACGAAGGGAUGAAACAGGCCCGCGGUGCCGGUACCGCAUCCCACUGC
rnacentral:ncRNA from 1 species